rnacentral:rRNA from 1 species
AUCUACCGCCAUGCCACCCUGAACAAGCCCGAACCCGUCUGACUGUGGAAGCUAAGCAGAGUUGGGCCUGAUUAGUACUUGGAUGGGAGACCACCUAGGAAGACCAGGUGCUGUGGGUG